AUAUUACUAAGGGGAGGAAAAGAAACUAACAAGGAUUCUCCUAGUAACGGCGAGUGAAGCGGCAACAGCUCAAAUUUGAAAUCUGGCUCUUUUAGGGCCCGAGUUGUAAUUUGUAGAGGAUGCUUCGGCGUCGGCUCCAGUCUAAGUCCUUGGAACAGGACGUCAUAGAGGGUGAGAAUCCCGUAUGUGAUCGGUUG
rnacentral:rRNA from 1 species